rnacentral:rRNA from 1 species
GAGUUUGAUCAUGGCUCAGAUUGAACGCUGGCGGCAUGCCUUACACAUGCAAGUCGAACGGUAACAGGUCUUCGGAUGCUGACGAGUGGCGAACGGGUGAGUAAUACAUCGGAACGUGCCCAGACGUGGGGGGAUAACGAGGCGAAAGCUUUGCUAAUACCGCAUACGAUCUAAGGAUGAAAGCAGGGGACCGCAAGGCCUUGCGCGUUUGGAGCGGCCGAUGGCAGAUUAGGUAGUUGGUGGGAUAAAAGCUUACCAAGCCGACGAUCUGUAGCUGGUCUGAGAGGACGACCAGCCACACUGGGACUGAGACACGGCCCAGACUCCUACGGGAGGCAGCAGUGGGAAUUUGGACGAUGGGCGAAAGCCUGAUCCAGCAAUGCCGCGUGCAGGAUGAAGGCCUCGGUUGUAACGUAGC